GACUUCGUGGUGUAGUGGUCAGCACGCUGGACGCAUAUUCCAGCGGUCAGUGGUUCGAGUCCCGGCGAAGGCG
rnacentral:tRNA from 1 species